GACGUAGGGCGCGAGCGUUGUCCGGAUUUAUUGGGCGUAAAGAGCUCGUAGGCGGUGUGUCGCGUCGGCCGUGAAAACCUGCAGCUUAACUGUGGGCUUGCGGUCGAUACGGGCAUCACUGGAGUUCGGCAGGGGAGACUGGAAUUCCUGGUGUAGCGGUGAAAUGCGCAGAUAUCAGGAGGAACACCAGUGGCGAAGGCGGCUCACUGGCCCGGUACUGACGCUGAGGCACGGAAAGCCGUGGGGAGCAAACAGG
rnacentral:rRNA from 1 species